AAAAACAUGUCUUUUUGUUUUUGAUUUAAGGUCUGACCUGCCCAAUGAUUAUAAUUUAAUGGCUGCAGUAUUUUAACUGUACAAAGGUAGCAUAAUCAUUAGUUUCUUAAUUAGAAGCUGGAAUGAAUGGUUUGAUGAGAAAUUUACUGUCUCAAUUUAAUUGUUUUAGAAUUUUAUUUUUAAGUGAAAAAGCUUAAAUUUUUUAAGAAGACGAGAAGACCCUAUAGAGUUUCACAUAUUUAGGGUUAUUUUUUUUAUGAUUUUAUUAAGUUUAAUUUUUUGAUAUGUUUUGUUGGGGUGAUGGGAAAAUUUUUUUAACUUUUCUUUAUUUAUACACUAAUUAGUGAUUUAAUGAUCCUUUUAAGAUUAUAAGAUUAAAUUACCUUAGGGAUAACAGCGUAAUUUUUUUUGAAAGUUCUUAUUGAUAAAAAAGUUUGCGACCUCGAUGUUGGAUUAAAGUUUAUUUACGGUGUAGAAGCUGUAAAAUUAGGUCUGUUCGACC
rnacentral:rRNA from 1 species